rnacentral:lncRNA from 1 species
UCGCCGAUUCCUUUAGCUUUUUUGAGCAAGUGCUGUCAAUGCCUUUUGCUCUGGCACUUUCACUUCCAUAUAGGUUGGAUUUUUCAUAGAAAAUCACCUAUCCACACUGAGUAGGCGAUUCCCACAGUCGAGUCGCCGACUCCCAUACUGAGUAGGCGAUUCCCACAGUUGAAUUGUCGAUUCGGUCAUCGUCUUCAUUCAUCGCUUCGGCUGAAUAAGACCACACUGAGUAGGCGAUUCCCACAGUUGAGUCGCCGACACCCACACUGAAUAGGCAAUUCCCAUAGUUGAAUUGUCGAUUCGGUCAUUCGAUCAUCGUCUUCAUUCAUCACUUUGGCUGAAUAAGACCACGCAUAGCCCAGCUCUUUUACCGAAACGAAAAUCCAUCGCCACGGUUGGAUUCACCUCGUCGUUUCGGUAAAAAAAAAAAGUAUGGGGCUUUUUACCUUUUUUCACUACCAGUGAUUCUGUCGGUCCACCUCCGGAAUACCCAGAUCUGAUUUUGGGAUUCUACGACCACACAUCACGUGAAAAAAGUUUUCCCUACAAGUACAAAAAGGCAGAAUUUCCCAACAGUGCAAGGAAUCUUUUCUGGGAAAGGUCUAAACAGGCAUCCCGAAAACGACCUCCGGCGGCACGAUUUUCUGCUGAAAAAUUGCAAAAAAUUUACGAUAUUUUUUGCUAAUUCCAUACUUU